rnacentral:lncRNA from 1 species
AAAUCAUCCCGCACACGGCAAUGCGGCCAUGAAGUCUCAUGUUCAUGAGCACUGCAUCGAGCAUUUUGCCCCCAACGUUCUCCCAGUAAAUGUCAAUGCCUUCUGGGAAAUACCUACCACACAUCAACAUGAAUAAUUGACUAAUUUGUCAGUUAUUAACUUCUGUUAUUAGUUUAAUAUGUGCAUGAUGAGUGCAGUCCUUAAUUAUUUGUGUCAUUGUUUAUCGUAAAAACCAACCUUUUCAAAGCCGUAUUCAAGUCAGGCUCUUCCUUAUAAUUGAAAGCCUCAUCAAAUCCAAACUUCUUUUUCAACAUAUCAACCUAAAUAUUGGAGAAUAAUAAGCACAAGUACUGAAUGUAAUUAGUAACCAUAUAUAUAUAUAUAU